rnacentral:rRNA from 1 species
GGGUUGUGAGGUUAAGCGACUAAGCGUACACGGUGGAUGCCCUGGCAGUCAGAGGCGAUGAAGGGCGUGCUAAUCUGCGAUAAGCGCCGGUAAGGUGAUAUGAACCGUUAUAACCGGCGAUACCCGAAUGGGGAAACCCAGUGUGAUUCGUCACACUAUCAUUAACUGAAUCCAUAGGUUAAUGAGGCGAACCGGGGGAACUGAAACAUCUAAGUACCCCGAGGAAAAGAAAUCAACCGAGAUUCCCCCAGUAGCGGCGAGCGAACGGGGAGGAGCCCAGAGCCUGAAUCAGCAUGUGUGUUAGUGGAAGCGUCUGGAAAGGCGCGCGAUACAGGGUGACAGCCCCGUACACAAAAGCGCAUGUGCUGUGAGCUCGAUGAGUAGGGCGGGACACGUGGUAUCCUGUCUGAAUAUGGGGGGACCAUCCUCCAAGGCUAAAUACUCCUGACUGACCGAUAGUGAACCAGUACCGUGAGGGAAAGGCGAAAAGAACCCCGGCGAGGGGAGUGAAAAAGAACCUGAAACCGUGUACGUACAAGCAGUGGGAGCACCCUUUGGGUGUGACUGCGUACCUUUUGUAUAAUGGGUCAGCGACUUAUAUUCUGUAGCAAGGUUAACCGAAUAGGGGAGCCGGAGGGAAACCGAGUCUUAAUUGGGCGUUAAGUUGCAGGGUAUAGACCCGAAACCCGGUGAUCUAGCCAUGGGCAGGUUGAAGGUUGGGUAACACUAACUGGAGGACCGAACCGACUAAUGUUGAAAAAUUAGCGGAUGACCUGUGGCUGGGGGUGAAAGGCCAAUCAAACCGGGAGAUAGCUGGUUCUCCCCGAAAGCUAUUUAGGUAGCGCCUCGUGAAUUCAUCUCCGGGGGUAGAGCACUGUUUCGGCUAGGGGGCCAUCCCGGCUUACCAACCCGAUGCAAACUGCGAAUACCGGAGAAUGUUAUCACGGGAGACACACGGCGGGUGCUAACGUCCGUCGUGAAGAGGGAAACAACCCAGACCGCCAGCUAAGGUCCCAAAGUCAUGGUUAAGUGGGAAACGAUGUGGGAAGGCCCAGACAGCCAGGAUGUUGGCUUAGAAGCAGCCAUCAUUUAAAGAAAGCGUAAUAGCUCACUGGUCGAGUCGGCCUGCGCGGAAGAUGUAACGGGGCUAAACCAUGCACCGAAGCUGCGGCAGCGACACUGUGUGUUGUUGGGUAGGGGAGCGUUCUGUAAGCCUGCGAAGGUGGCCUGUGAGGGUUGCUGGAGGUAUCAGAAGUGCGAAUGCUGACAUAAGUAACGAUAAAGCGGGUGAAAAGCCCGCUCGCCGGAAGACCAAGGGUUCCUGUCCAACGUUAAUCGGGGCAGGGUGAGUCGACCCCUAAGGCGAGGCCGAAAGGCGUAGUCGAUGGGAAACGGGUUAAUAUUCCCGUACUUGGUGUUACUGCGAAGGGGGGACGGAGAAGGCUAUGUUGGCCGGGCGACGGUUGUCCCGGUUUAAGCGUGUAGGUGUGUGUUCCAGGUAAAUCCGGUUCACUUUAACACUGAGGCGUGACGACGAGGCACUACGGUGCUGAAGCAACAAAUGCCCUGCUUCCAGGAAAAGCCUCUAAGCAUCAGGUAACAUCAAAUCGUACCCCAAACCGACACAGGUGGUCAGGUAGAGAAUACCAAGGCGCUUGAGAGAACUCGGGUGAAGGAACUAGGCAAAAUGGUGCCGUAACUUCGGGAGAAGGCACGCUGACACGUAGGUGAAGUGAUUUACUCAUGGAGCUGAAGUCAGUCGAAGAUACCAGCUGGCUGCAACUGUUUAUUAAAAACACAGCACUGUGCAAACACGAAAGUGGACGUAUACGGUGUGACGCCUGCCCGGUGCCGGAAGGUUAAUUGAUGGGGUCAGCGCAAGCGAAGCUCCUGAUCGAAGCCCCGGUAAACGGCGGCCGUAACUAUAACGGUCCUAAGGUAGCGAAAUUCCUUGUCGGGUAAGUUCCGACCUGCACGAAUGGCGUAAUGAUGGCCAGGCUGUCUCCACCCGAGACUCAGUGAAAUUGAACUCGCUGUGAAGAUGCAGUGUACCCGCGGCAAGACGGAAAGACCCCGUGAACCUUUACUAUAGCUUGACACUGAACAUUGAGCCUUGAUGUGUAGGAUAGGUGGGAGGCUUUGAAGUGUGGACGCCAGUCUGCAUGGAGCCGACCUUGAAAUACCACCCUUUAAUGUUUGAUGUUCUAACGUGGACCCGUUACCCGGGUUGCGGACAGUGUCUGGUGGGUAGUUUGACUGGGGCGGUCUCCUCCUAAAGAGUAACGGAGGAGCACGAAGGUUGGCUAAUCCUGGUCGGACAUCAGGAGGUUAGUGCAAUGGCAUAAGCCAGCUUGACUGCGAGCGUGACGGCGCGAGCAGGUGCGAAAGCAGGUCAUAGUGAUCCGGUGGUUCUGAAUGGAAGGGCCAUCGCUCAACGGAUAAAAGGUACUCCGGGGAUAACAGGCUGAUACCGCCCAAGAGUUCAUAUCGACGGCGGUGUUUGGCACCUCGAUGUCGGCUCAUCACAUCCUGGGGCUGAAGUAGGUCCCAAGGGUAUGGCUGUUCGCCAUUUAAAGUGGUACGCGAGCUGGGUUUAGAACGUCGUGAGACAGUUCGGUCCCUAUCUGCCGUGGGCGCUGGAGAACUGAGGGGGGCUGCUCCUAGUACGAGAGGACCGGAGUGGACGCAUCACUGGUGUUCGGGUUGUCAUGCCAAUGGCACUGCCCGGUAGCUAAAUGCGGAAGAGAUAAGUGCUGAAAGCAUCUAAGCACGAAACUUGCCCCGA